rnacentral:lncRNA from 1 species
CAAAGCCCACCCUACGAUUGAUUUUUGUUUUCUUCUAGAAUCAACUUCAAGUUUGCUAGAGCAGCUGUAUUUAUUUGCAAGAGGCUUUGGGCAUGAAUUUUUUUCCCCAGGUAUAUUAGGAAAUACACUGUCUCUUCAGUGAAAAUCGGUCUCUUUUUAAUGAUACUUGAAAAAUUAAUCACUUUUGUUCUCCAGAUUGACUUUUAAAUCUUUCCCUUUAGAAAUCGCCGGCUGGACAUCCAGAGCACCUAGCCUGUUUUUUUCUGCAUCUUGAAUUGAGCAUUAACAGGACUCUUGAAGAGUACAUCCUGCAGAGAGUAGCUUAAGCUAGAAAGGACUGCCUGUGACACCUGCCUGCUAUCUAUAAAACACUCAUUCCUCUUUCAAUGAUGCUGACUUAUUCACCAACACUUUCCAAGAAUGUGUUUACAUUAAAGCAGAGCCAGGAUGUUAAGAGUACCAGAUUGCAGAUUACUUUGCCAUUGCUUCAGUGGCAUCCAGAGUGAGUCACCCUGCCUCAGUUACAGCAAGAGGAGCUCUG